GCCGCCCUAGCUCAGUUGGUAGAGCAAUUCACUCGUAAUGAAUAGGUCGUCGGUUCGAUUCCGAUGGGCGGCUCCA
rnacentral:tRNA from 1 species